rnacentral:rRNA from 1 species
AUUGAACGCUGGCGGCAGGCCUAACACAUGCAAGUCGAGCGAGCGGCGGACGGGUGAGUCAUGUCUGGGAAACUGCCUGAUGGAGGGGGAUAACUACUGGAAACGGUAGCUAAUACCGCAUACCAUCAGAUGUGCCCAGAUGGGAUUAGCUAGUAGGUGGGGUAACGGCUCACCUAGGCGACGAUCCCUAGCUGGUCUGAGAGGAUGACCAGCGGCAAUGGAACGUAGAAACGGGCCAGACUACUACGGAUGUCAGCGGUGGGGACAAUUGCACAAGUGACGCAAGCCUGAUGCAUCCAUGCCGCGUGUGUGAAGAAGACCUUCGGGUUGUAAAGCACUUUCAGCAGGGAGGCGUUACCCGCAGAAGAAGCACCGACUUACUCCGUGCAUGCAGCGGCGGUAAUAC